AUGUUGUCAACCGUUGCUAUGCAACCGGCACGCGGUUCCAACUACCGAGAGCAGAGAGGGUCAAACGUUUCACAUUCAAGUAGCUUUAUUGUCAUAUUCGAAAGGAUAAACAUUAGUAGGAUACACCAGUAUUAUUGUAGCUACUUACACAUGCAAUAUAAAUGGUUCUUUGCAAUUCGGCGAUGUCCGAAUUCACGAAUCGCGAGUCAAUCGGUCAAGCUGUCUAAAUUCAAGAUCCAGUCUGAAUAGUUUUCCAACCGAAUCAAAACGUGUACAAAAGCAGUGACCUCUUUAGCGUGGAUGUGCAGUCUGUCAGCUGAAGCGUGCCGUAGCCCUGCUCUGGCCUCAUCCCUCCAUCUCUGCAAAACACAUUCACAAUGUCACACAUCUGGUCCCAUGAGAUCAAACAAACCUGUGAAAUCUACCUCAAUAACUUUGUCUGCGUGUGUGUGUGUUUAAGAAUAUUAGAAUAAUAUUAAUUCUCACUGGUCUUUGAUUUUUUGAAGUCUGGUUAAAGGUGUCAGGUAGAUCCGGAUUGCUGGAUCCUCUCACGGAGAUCACAAUGUCAGCAUAAGGGACUUCAUGAUCACUCUGGCUGUCUGGGAUUAAAAAAAUAAAUAAAAAUGUGGACCAGUUAAAUCUUAAAUG
ensembl:lncRNA